ACGGGGAUCGGCUAACGGUAAGCCACCGGUCUUUGGAACCGACCAUGAAGGUUCGAAUCCUUCUCCCCGUA
rnacentral:tRNA from 1 species